rnacentral:lncRNA from 1 species
GGAGAAGUUGGCCGGCACGCCGGAGGUGAGGUCGGUGUAGACGAGGCCGAUGCCCGGGACGCGCACCAUGCCUAGCUUGUCGCCCAGCGCCAGCAGCCACUCCAGGGUCACCUUGUUGUGCAUGUCGUACUCGUACUUCCUGAUCGUGGUGUAGUGCCACACGAACAUGAUGGCGAGCAGGAUGAGUGCCAGGAAGAUCGGCAGCCACGCGCCUUCCAGGAACUUGAUCAGCGACGCCGAGAAGUAGAGCGCCUCGAUGGAGCCGAAGAAGAGGAAGAAGGCGAGCGCCAGCCAUGGGGAUCGGUCCCAGCACAGCAUGAUCACCAGGG